UACGUAGGUGGCAAGCGUUGUCCGGAUUUAUUGGGCGUAAAGCGAGCGCAGGCGGUCUUUUAAGUCUGAUGUGAAAGCCCCCGGCUUAACCGGGGAGGGUCAUUGGAAACUGGGAGACUUGAGUGCAGAAGAGGAAAGCGGAAUUCCAUGUGUAGCGGUGAAAUGCGUAGAUAUAUGGAGGAACACCAGUGGCGAAGGCGGCUUUCUGGUCUGUAACUGACGCUGAGGCUCGAAAGCGUGGGGAGCAAACAGGAUUAGAUACCCUGGUAGUCCACGCCGUAAACGAUGAGUGAUAAGUGUUGGAGGGUUUCAGACAUUAAGUGCUGCAGCAAACGCAUUAAGCAAUCCGCCUGGGGAGUACGACCGCAAGGUUGAA
rnacentral:rRNA from 1 species